rnacentral:misc_RNA from 1 species
AAAAUAAUAAAUAAAUAAAUAAUCCAGGUCGCCAUUGUUUUUGUGCCCAGCAGGCACGUCCAUCUUUCUUUCCUCUUACCCAUUUUUGUCGCAUGUAAUUUGUUAAGAAUUUUCAACACAAUUCAUAAGCACAUCCGCGCCUGUCCUGAGUCAUAACUUUAGGAAGAUAAUGUCAAAAAUCAUUAAUUGUAACAGAAAUUUGAGUCCUCACUCCUCAG